GAUGUGAGAGUGUUCUGGCUGUGACAUCUGUUACCUCGUUGAUUGCCAGGGUCAUUUGGGUAAUCUAACUGGCUAGGCAGGUGUCCCCUUAAUCCCUCAGAUGUC
rnacentral:snRNA from 1 species